rnacentral:rRNA from 1 species
UACGAAGGGGGCUAGCGUUGCUCGGAAUUACUGGGCGUAAAGGGCGCGUAGGCGGAUCGUUAAGUCAGAGGUGAAAUCCCAGGGCUCAACCCUGGAACUGCCCUUGAUACUGGCGAUCUUGAGUGUGAGAGAGGUAUGUGGAACUCCGAGUGUAGAGGUGAAAUUCGUAGAUAUUCGGAAGAACACCAGUGGCGAAGGCG